rnacentral:rRNA from 1 species
GAUGAACGCUGGCGGCGUGCCUAAUACAUGCAAGUCGAGCGAACGGACGAGAAGCUUGCUUCUCUGAUGUUAGCGGCGGACGGGUGAGUAACACGUGGAUAACCUACCUAUAAGACUGGGAUAACUUCGGGAAACCGUAGCUAAUACCGGAUAAUAUUUUGAACCGCAUGGUUCAAAAGUGAAAGACGGUCUUGCUGUCACUUAUAGAUGGAUCCGCGCUGCAUUAGCUAGUUGGUAAGGUAACGGCUUACCAAGGCAACGAUGCAUAGCCGACCUGAGAGGGUGAUCGGCCACAUGGGAACUUAGACACGGUCCAGACUCCUACGGGAGGCAGCAGUAGGGAAUCUUCCGCAACGGGCGAAAGCCUGACGGAGCAACACCGCGUGAGUGAUGAAGGUCUUCGGAUCGUAAAACUCUGUUAUUAGGGAAGAACAUAUGUGUAAGUAACUGUGCACAUCUUGACGGUACCUAAUCAGAAAGCCACGGCUAACUACGUG